CUCACUUCAUUGGUAGAUAUACUAACAUUGGAAUACUACAGAGAAAAUUAGCAUUGUCCCUGCAGAAGGAUGACAUGCAAAUUCAUGAAGCCAAGUCAUCCCUUUUUU
rnacentral:snRNA from 1 species